rnacentral:rRNA from 1 species
GCAUAACGCGAAGAACCUUACCUACCCUUGACAUGUCAGAGAUCCCUGAGAGAUUGGGGAGUGCCGCAAGGAAUCUGAACACAGGUGCUGCAUGGCUGUCGUCAGCUCGUGUCGUGAGAUGUUGGAUUAAGUCCCGCAACGAGCGCAACCCUUGUCGUUAAUUGCCAUCAUUUGGUUGGGCACUUUAACGAGACUGCCGGUGACAAACCGGAGGAAGGUGGGGAUGACGUCAAGUCCUCAUGGCCCUUAUGGGUAGGGCUUCACACGUCAUACAAUGGUCGGUACAGAGGGUUGCGAAGCCGCAAGGUGGAGCCAAUCCCAGAAAGCCGAUCGUAGUCCGGAUUGGAGGCUGCAACUCGCCUCCAUGAAGUCGGAAUCGCUAGUAAUCGCGGAUCAGCAUGUCGCGGUGAAUACGUUCCCGGGUCUUGUACACACCG